rnacentral:rRNA from 1 species
AGUGAACGCUGGCGGUAGGCCUAACACAUGCAAGUCGAACGGCCGCACAGUAAGCGCUCGCCCUUACGGGUGGCGAGUGGCGGACGGGUGAGGAAUACAUCGGAAUCUACUUUUUCGUGGGGGAUAACGUAGGGAAACUUACGCUAAUACAGCAUACGACCUACGGGUGAAAGCAGUGGAUCUUCGGACCUUUCGCGAUUGAUUGAGCCGAUGUCGGAUUAGAUAGUUGGCGGGGUAAAGGCCCACCAAGGCGACGAUCCGUAGCUGAUCUGAGAGGAUGAUCAGCCACACUGGAACUGAGACACGGUCCAGACUCCUACGGGAGGCAGCAGUGGGGAAUAUUGGGCAAUGGGCGCAAGCCUGAUCCAGCCAUACCGCGUGAGUGAAGAAGGCCUUCGGGUUGUAAAGCCCUUUUGUUAGGAAAGAAAAACAGCAGGUUAAUACCCCGCUGUUCUGACGGUACCCAAAGAAUAAGCACCGGCUAACUUCGUG